rnacentral:rRNA from 1 species
GAUGAACGCUGGCGGCGUGCUUAACACAUGCCAGUCGAGCGAAAAGACGAGGAGCUUGCUGUUUUGACGAUAGGCGCGGGCGGGGGAGUAACUCGUGGAGAAUCUACCUGAAAGAGGGGGAUAACUACGGGAAACGGGAGCUAAUACCGGAUAAUAUCUUGAACCGCAUGGGUGGAUGGUGAAAGACGGUUUUGGUGUCACUUCUCGAUGGGUCCAGGCCUGAUUAGCUAGUUGGUAAGGUCACGGGUUACCAAGGCUACGAUGCGUAGCCGACCUGAGAGGGUGAUCGGCCACACUGGAACUGAGACACGGUCCAGACUCCUACGGGAGGCAGCAGUAGGGAAUCUUCCGCAAUGGGCGAAAGCCUGACGCAGCAACGCCGCGUGAGUGAUGAAGGUCUUCGGGUCGUAAAGCUCUGUUAUUGGGGAAGAACAGAUGUGUAAGUAGCUAUGCACUUAUUGACGGUACCUGAUCAAGAAGCCACGGCUAACUACGUG